CGCACCCGCGCUGAGCUACUACCGAAGUUGCAAAGAGCUGAGCGGACCGGCCAGAAAGGUGAAGGUCCCGGCAACCGAAGAAAGGGAAGACAGCUCCGCGUGGGCUGCCCGGAUCCUCAAGGAGCCUCGCUCGAGUCACAGGAGGCUCCCGCUGCUCGAAGUCCGCCGAAGUGAUGUGAGCAUCCUCCAGUUCCACCCGGCCGCAUCCAGACACCGAGCGGAGUCCGCCCCCGGAGUGCGAGCAUCCCGAACGUUCUGGACGUCCUGCACUGCGGGAGGCACCCGGCCACACUCCGCUCCUCGCCAGUUCCUCGCCCACCAUGGCCUGCCCAGGCGGUCAGGCUCAGAACGGACUGUGAGCUUUCAAAAGGGAAAAAGAUGGAAACCACCAACAAUGCUGCCAACUGGAUGAGUGUCGAUUUAUAGCUUGCGCAGUCAAGCAAGUGCUGGGACUCAAACCCCCAUCCUCUGCAAGAGGACAAAGAACCCGUACCUCUCGGCCUUCUCUUCAGCUUGUGACUUUUCUGCAGGCGAGCUUUCCGGUGGGUGAGCCGACAGAUCUGCUGAGCUGAGAGAAAGACUGAAGUCGGAAUGGGUGGCACGAAUGUUCAUGACAAAGUACCAAUGAGGUGGGAAGAUAUGCAGGCAGGAACUUCCAGAAAUCUACAAAGAGGUCACUGUGUGUUUCUUGUUUGGCACUCGGCUUCCCACUUCUCGAGGCUGGCGUGAGAUGAGGACCAUUUCAUUUCCAUGCAGCCACAGUUAACCGUCCUCGGGGAGAACAGGAGCCCUGAAAGGUUAUUCAUGACACCAGUGGGGCUCAAUUGUCCGGAUAAAAACUACUCCACCCAAUAAAGAACUUUAGUACAAGCUUGAAUAGUACCCUAAUGAUCCAAUAUAAAUUCCUCCCAGAACAAAGUACAAGUGUUAGUCCGGUCCUCCCAACAAGCACUUACAAAGACUUGAUUAUAUUUACAAGAGUCUCAUUUGGAGAAAUGGCUGUGAGCGUUGAAAAGGAAGGCCACCGGGAAGGUGGCCUGUUUAGACCAAAUAACCUACUUCACCCUAUGCAUGUGUGACCGGGUAUACCUACCACCUGAACUAGGUCUGGUGAAGCAUAAUUUCUGGGUGUGUCCAUAGGGUGUUUAUGGAAGAGAGUAAUAUUGAGCAGACAGACUGAGUAAAACAGAUUGUGGUCCCCAGCAUGGUUGGGCAUCUAAUUUAUAAAAGACUUCCAUAACGCUGAAAUAGGACCCACCCAUCUAUCCACCCAAACAUUUUCAAGAACUGAUUUACGCCCAGAUAUUAUAAGGAAUGUAUUAGGCUAGGGGCAAAGUCCCAUGAUCUGCUACCUGAAGACUUGAGACCCAAGAGCACUGAGUGUGUCAGACCAGGUCCAAGGCCUGAAGAUGGAUGCCUCACUUCAGUUGGUUCUGUUUCUAUGGGAAACCCUAUUAGAGAAAGACAGAGAAUAUCAGGAUGAUUGUGCUACAGCACGAUUCUAAUCAAGUUGAAAGGUUGGCCAAUAAGCCAAUUUCCCAGUGGAGACACCCCGUGCUUCACAAGAAGUCGAUGGUAGUAUACCUGCAUUCCUCAGUCACCAUUCUCACGGAAUGAGCCUGUGGGAAAUGUAGCCUUGGCAGGAAAAUAGCAGUGGCUUCAGAAUAGCAGCAAGGACCACUAAACUUUCCUCAAGCAGCAGGUCCAAGUGGUGGAGCUCAGCCCCGGUUCCGUCUCCUCCUUGUUCUGCACGUCCACUCCUUGGGGAUGGCUUGACGUGACUGCCAGAAAGAUGGUGAGGUGCCAAGAUCAAUGUGGAGCCUCUGCUAACCAUUCCAGAAGUAGGUGAGUGUUCUCCUUUCCCGGUGAAGGGUCACCCUAACAAAUGGCCAGAGUCCAUUUGGGGAAGAACUUGAGUGUCAUCACAGCAUGCACUGGUCAUUGUAUAACAGAAUCUUUAUUUACUAAGGCUGAACCACUUUCCCCAUCUCCAGAGCCCUUAAGAUUUUCUUGUAAUGUCUCAAAACUGGAGCAAGAGUUUGUAAAGAUUCAUCGGGGACAGUACCAUUAACAUCUCGCUUUUCCAUUCUUGCCUUAAUUAGUUACAGAAGUUAAGGGACAUCCUUGCUACUUACUUGCUCAUCUGUUUUGCCUGUAGGGGUGUUACCUUCAAUUAAUCAUCUCCCAAACACCCUGUGAGUCAAGCCCACUUAACUACCCUUCCAAUUUUACCAGUUGUUACAGUAAUUAUGGCCUCUUGGCUUUUGGUAGCUAAGCACCAGUCCUGCAGGGCCCUUUAUUACAGGGUCCAUUACCCUGAGAGAUAUUAACAAGCCCAGUUCCAUGACCGCCUCAUCUUCAGCCCUAGCUAAAUACAGACACUACCACUUGUCUCAGUGAUCCUGGUACCCUCUCUUAGGAGUGUUUUUGGUGGCCUUGGUGGAUUGUGUGUUCUCUAGUCCUAACCUUGGAGCAAGCCACAUGAGUUUUCUACACUCACCAUGUAUCCAUUCUAGCCUGACCAGGUCCCUCAGUCUGUUUAUAUCUUCCAUAUUUACCAGAGCAAUGUGGAUAUCAUGCUUGUGCUCAUGACUUUUACCUUUACGGGCUUUUAAGAGCCACUCCGUCAGGAAAUUUGUUUCUUUCCCUGGUGUUCCUCCUGGGGUAAUGUCUUAGUCCAUUUCUGCAUCUGUAACAAAGUAUCUGAGGCUGACUAAUUUACAAAGAACAUGAAUUUAUUUCUCAGUGGUCUUGAGGAUGGGAAUACUAAAUUAAAAUGUCAGUGAGUUUGGUAUCUAGUGAGGGCCCAGUGUGUGCUUCUUUCUAGACUUCCAUCCUUCAGAGGUUUUGUACACUAUUUCCACAUGGUGGAGAUGAAGUCUAAGACAGAUCUAGGUAGCUCCCCUGUAGCCUGCCUUAAUUUGCCUUCAUCACUUAAUCUCUAAAAGAUACCAACUGUUAAUAUAUUCACAUUGGCAAUUACGUCUUUUCACACUUGAGUUUGGGUAAACAGACCACACCAGAAGAUAAGCACUUUGCACCUGAAAUAGGCCUAAACAAAUGUAUUCUUACAUGUCUGCCUUUAUAUUUUAGCAUCUCAGAAAAGCACUGAUAAAAUUUCCACCCAGGAAUAUUUGCUGGCUCUUGCAUGUGUGUCAUAGAGCUUCUUCAGUAUAUAGUAUUUUUCCUGCCUUGUUGGACCUAGCAUCACUCCACUGACUAUGUGAAGAAUUUAACCAGACAUCUUCCUAGCAGUCAGGAAAGAAGACAGCCAUUCCAUGGGUGUAGGUGUACACUCUAAUAUUUACCUUUCGAGAUCUGGCCUUUGGUUCUUGAUAUACAGAUCGAGGAGCUUUCCACAAGGCACUGUUUGGGCCAAUGCAAUUUCAUUGUUAAACUUGUCUAACUAUUGAAUGGGAAAAUGCUACUAUGCUUGCAGGAUUCGUCAACUGAAUAGAAAAAGAUCGAUGCUUUCAGCUUGAUUCAGGAAACAAAUACUUCCCACUUGUAGAUGAUUAAACAGAACUUUGGAACCCAAACCUGACAGAACAUUAUUAGAAGAAGGGAAAUUAUAGACCCAACCUCAAAGAUGCUCCCAGGAGAUCUGUUUAUUUUGACGAAAUUGAUAAACUGCCUGAAGCGUAUUUAGAAAUUGAGUGGAUUCAUGACAGCCAAAGUCGUUAUGAAGAAUAUCUUCAGGGCCAUCAAACCCAAGCAAGCUGCAAACAUCGGGGUACUUCACUGUUUGUACAGUGAUGGCUACUAGAUGAAUGGAAGAAAUGCAGAAAUACCGGGUAAAUUUUCCUCUGAAGGCAAAUGCUUUCUUUCUCACCUCCGUACACACCCCACACCAGACAUAUUUCUACCCUUAAACCAGAAUGUAAGUUGAGUGUUUAGGAGGAAUGAAACCAUAGACCGCCCCCCUCAAGGAAUAUGCACAUGAAAACUUAGUGGCUUUUGCUUUUCCAAAGACCAAAGUCAUGGCUUCAAAUUUAAGACCGGAGGAAUACCUGGCCCUCCAUGUCACAGCCUACAUGCUCGAAACUCACUCAAGGGGCUUGGAAAAAAACAAUCUCAUCAGUGAGUAAUCUCUAAGAGAAUGCAGUAGAGUUUAUUGCUGAAUAAAGUUUCUAACGAAGUCCACAUUCCAAAUCACAGUCUGAAAAACCCAGAAAGAAUGUACGUGAGCUAAAAGUGGAAACACUAGCAAUCAAUGCCCCUGUCUUGUUACCCUGAGACAUGAUGGUGCAUCAAGCUAGGCUGUACAGUAUUGGUGAAUUUGCAUGUGCCUAGAUAUAGGGAUUCCAGAUUGCCAUACAGUCACUACCAUGUCAGGCAACCAAGAAAAUCUCUUUUUGUGUACAACAAGGAGCAUUAUAUCAAUAAGUCUAACAGCUCACAGGCCUGAAGGACUCUCUGCAGAAGUACAGUGUGAACUCUGAGAAUCCUUUAGCUUUCGUCAGUCAUCAGCAUGGAAAUGCAUGGCAAUGAUUACCAGAAAAUACAGUACUCACCUUGCUUGAAGCCAGACAUAGAUUGCCAUCAAUCAAGAAUCAAAUGCUAUGAUACCUCCUAACCUUCUAGAGCUUGGAUACAACCCUGAAUGGAAAGUGAGUGCUGGGGACUUAGUAUGCCCACACACAAUUCCUAUGUUGAAACCCUGCUUCCAAAGGUGGUGGUAUCAGGAGGAGACUGGGACUUCAGGAAGUGAAGAGAAUGCCUUCCAUUAUGAAAGAAGCUCAAGGGAGCUCAUUCACCCUUCUGCCAAGUGACAACAGACAGCUGCCAGGAGCAAUUAAGUGUGUUCUCACCACAAACUCUGCCAGCACCUUGAUUUUGAAUUUUCUAGCCUCCAGAAGUCUGAGACGUUUCUGUUAUUUAUAAUCUACCCAGUAUAUAGUGGGUGUUCUGUUACACUAACGCCAACAAGCUGAGAGAAAAUGUUGCAUUAACUUAUUUUAAAAUGCAUUGCCUAUAUUCAUCUGGAAAAUAAAGGGUUUGAGGUAGG